rnacentral:rRNA from 1 species
UACGUAGGGGGCUAGCGUUGUCCGGAAUUACUGGGCGUAAAGAGCGUGUAGGCGGUCAGGUAGGUCCGUUGUGAAAACUCGAGGCUCAACCUCGAGACGCCGAUGGAAACCAUCUGACUAGAGUCCGGAAGAGGAGAGUGGAAUUCCUGGUGUAGCGGUGAAAUGCGCAGAUAUCAGGAAGAACACCCGUGGCUAAGGCGGCUCUCUAGUACGGUACUGACGCUGAGACGCGAAAGCGUGGGGAGCGAACAGG